GCUGGCGGUAGGCCUAACACAUGCAAGUCGAACGGCAGCACAGGAGAGCUUGCUCUCUGGGUGGCGAGUGGCGGACGGGUGAGGAAUACAUCGGAAUCUACUCUGUCGUGGGGGAUAACGUAGGGAAACUUACGCUAAUACCGCAUACGACCUACGGGUGAAAGCAGGGGAUCUUCGGACCUUGCGCGAUUGAAUGAGCCGAUGUCGGAUUAGCUAGUUGGCGGGGUAAAGGCCCACCAAGGCGACGAUCCGUAGCUGGUCUGAGAGGAUGAUCAGCCACACUGGAACUGAGACACGGUCCAGACUCCUACGGGAGGCAGCAGUGGGGAAUAUUGGACAAUGGGCGCAAGCCUGAUCCAGCCAUACCGCGUGGGUGAAGAAGGCCUUCGGGUUGUAAAGCCCUUUUGUUGGGAAAGAAAUCCAGCCGGCUAAUACCUGGUUGGGAUGACGGUACCCAAAGAAUAAGCACCGGCUAACUUCGUGCCAGCAGCCGCGGUAAUACGAAGGGUGCAAGCGUUACUCGGAAUUACUGGGCGUAAAGCGUGCGUAGGUGGUUAUUUAAGUCCGUUGUGAAAGCCCUGGGCUCAACCUGGGAACUGCAGUGGAUACUGGAUGACUAGAAUGUGGUAGAGGGUAGCGGAAUUCCUGGUGUAGCAGUGAAAUGCGUAGAGAUCAGGAGGAACAUCCAUGGCGAAGGCAGCUACCUGGACCAACAUGACA
rnacentral:rRNA from 1 species